rnacentral:rRNA from 1 species
GACGAACGCUGGCGGCGUGCUUAACACAUGCAAGUCGAACGAAGUGGCGAACGGGUGAGUAAUACGUGGGUAACUGCCCCCCUCUCUGGGAUAACAGUUGGAAACGGCUGCUAAUACCGGAUAGUGGGGGAUGACUCGCGUCCUAUCGCCUUGUUGGUGGGGUAGUGGCCUACCAAGGCGACGACGGGUAGCCGGCCUGAGGGGGGGACCGGCCCCAUGGGGCUGCGAGACGGCCCAAACUCCUACGUGGGGCAGCAGGGGGGAAUAUUGCACAAGGGGGGAAACCCUGAUGCAGCAACGCCGCGUGCGGGAUGACGGCCUUCGGGUUGUAAACCGCUUUCAGCCAUGACGCGGUAGUGGCAGAAGAAGCACCGGCUAACUACGUGCCAGCAGCCGCGGUAAUAC